rnacentral:rRNA from 1 species
CAAAGGAGCAAUCCGCUGAAAGAUGGGCUCGCGUCCGAUUAGGUAGUUGGCGGGGCAACGGCCCACCAAGCCGACGAUCGGUAGCCGGACUGAGAGGUUGAACGGCCACAUUGGGACUGAGACACGGCCCAGACUCCUACGGGAGACAGCAGUGAGGGAUAUUGGUCAAUGGGGGAAACCCUGAACCAGCAACGCCGCGUGAGGGAAGACGGUUUUCGGAUUGUAAACCUCUGUCCUCUGUGAAGAUGAUGACGGUAGCAGAGGAGGAAGCUCCGGCUAACUACGUGCCAGCAGCCGCGGUAAUACGUAGGGAGCAAGCGUUGUCCGGAUUUACUGGGUGUAAAGGGUGCGUAGGCGGCUUUGCAAGUCAGAAGUGAAAUCCAUGGGCUUAACCCAUGAACUGCUUUUGAAACUGCAGAGCUUGAGUGGAGUAGAGGUAGGCGGAAUUCCCGGUGUAGCGGUGAAAUGCGUAGAGAUCGGGAGGAACACCAGUGGCGAAGGCGGCCUGCUGGGCUCUAACUGACGCUGAGGCACGAAAGCGUGGGUAGCAAACAGGAUUAGAUACCCUGGUAGUCCACGCUGUAAACGAUGAUUACUAGGUGUGGGUGGACUGACCCCAUCC